AGAUUGUGCCAUAGAAUUCUCACAAAUUAAAUUUAUCUUCCAAGUUGAGGAAAAAGGACAUAACAAAGAGGAACCAGCAAGAGGGAACACAAGAAUACUGUCAAGAAGCAUUUCUUCAUCUACAAUAGUGUGGCUGGACAAAAUGACAUACCACUUCCAGUAGAAUCCAUGCAGCAUCAACAGUGUAUUCAGCCAAGACUCAGACUGCAUUUCAGAUCCAAACCUGGGAGGGAUGAAGUCUGUUGUUCUCUGAACCUUGACCAGUUGGGGACUCUGUUGUUAAUUACCAUCUACAGAAGAAAGAACAUUCACUGAUGGGAACUGAGUGAUUCACUUCUCUAGUAGUAUAAUGAUAAGCAACUAUAAAACGAUGCCAUUUAGC
ensembl:antisense Gm44188 predicted gene, 44188